ACAUUUCCUUUUAAAUAAAAGGUCGUCCCUGCUCAGUGAGUUAAAUAGCCGCAGUAUCCUGACUGUGCUAAGGUAGCAAAAUAAUUUGUCUCUUUAUUAGAGGCUGGUAUAAAUGGGCUUAUAACAUCUCAAUUUUUGUUUUUAAGGCGAAGUUAUUAUUCAAUUAAAAAAAAUUGAAUUUUUGGGCAGACGACAAGACCCUAUAAAAUUUUACUUUUUUAAGGCCGAAAGGACAGGCAAUUUAAACAGAGUUAAACUGGGGCGGUAAUUAGGGCACACUAAUAAAGUUAACUUUUGAUAUAAAGGAGCUUUUGACCAAGUUGAAAAAUUACUUUAGGGGUAACAGCGUAAUGCCCUUUAAGAGACCUGAUUCUCAAGGGAGACUUACGACCUCGAUGUUGAAUUGAGGGGCCGCACUAAUGUAAAAGGUAGUGAGAGGAAGUCUGUUCGACUUUUAAACCUUCA
rnacentral:rRNA from 1 species